rnacentral:misc_RNA from 1 species
CGUAACAGCUGUCUAGGCGGCAAAAGUUUCAUGUCUGCCCGUAAAGUUUAUGUGGGAUAUUAAUCAAUUAAAAUAAUGCAAUAUAGUUUAUUAAGUGCUCAAUUAAGGUGCUCUAGGUUCUUAUUGCGACAGCAAGCACCUUUUAUCAACCGUUGCUACAGUGAUGAUAUCAGAAACAUUGGUAUUUUAGCACACAUUGACGCAGGCAAAACCACAACAACGGAACGCAUGCUUUAUUAUGCAGGCAAGACUCGAUCUUUGGGCGAGGUACAUCGCGGCAAUACGGUUACGGAUUACCUUACACAAGAGCGCGAGCGUGGCAUCACUAUUUGCAGCUCAGCCGUUACAUUUGCCUGGAAUGGUAAGCGUAUUAAUCUGCUAGACACGCCCGGACAUAUUGAUUUCACGAUGGAGGUGGAGCAGUCUCUAUAUGCUGUGGACGGCGUCAUUGUUGUUUUGGACGGCACGGCUGGCGUGGAAGCGCAAACAGUUACCGUGUGGACACAGGCAGACAAUCACAGGCUGCCGCGGCUUGUUUUCGUUAAUAAAAUGGACCGGUCAGAUGCUAUUUUUGACAAAUGUAUUGACGACUUAAAGGCAAAGCUAGAUGCUAAACCUAUUUGCACGCAACUCCCGGCGAAAAACGUUGACGGACAGUUAGGCAUAUAUGAUGUAAUUACAUUGGAGCAGUUGACUUGGCAACAGAACGAUUUUGGAAGAACUUAUAGUAUUAAUAAACUAGAAUCUUCUUCUGAAAUUCGCGAAUUGCGUGAAAAACGCAAUGAACUAAUAGAUCAGUUAUCCGGAGUUGACGACGAGUUAGCUGAGGUUGUCAUUAGCACUGAGAGUUUUGACAAAGUCAGUAAUGAGUUAAUUGUUCAAGCCCUGCGGCGCGCCACAUGCCAGCAGAAGGUUGUGCCCGUGCUGCUGGGCUCUGCUUAUAAAAAUAUAGGCAUACAACGUGUAAUGGAUGCCGUAAAUGCUUAUUUGCCAACACCAAACGAACGCAAUCAGAUAUAUAACUGUUUUGGAAAUGAUCUUGCGGGUAAGGUUUUUAAAAUUGUGCACGACAAGCAGCGUGGGCCUCUUACUCUGGUGCGCAUGCUGCGCGGCGAGUUGAAGCGUGGAAUGCGUGUGCUCUCUUCUCGUGGACAAGCGGAGGUUAUAUCGAAAAUAUAUGAGCCACUGGCUGACGAAUACCGAGAGGUGAGCUCCGUGCGAGCAGGUGAUGUGGCCAUAUGUGCGGGCCUUAAGUCAACAGUUACUGGCGAUCUGCUUACAACCAGUCAUACAUCCCUGAAGAAUGCGCAGAAACGUUUGAUUCAGAGUCUUGACGCAACAUCUCCACAGUAUGAUGAGGACGAGGUGGAUGUUAACCAAGAGCUGUUUUCAAUUGAGCCUAAAAUUCCUGAUGCUGUCUACUUUUGCUCCAUCGAGCCGCCCAGCCUAUCAACGCAAACAGCCAUGGAACAAGCGCUCAAACAACUACAGCGUGAAGAUCCCAGUUUGCGGGUAAACUACGAUACUGUCACUGGGCAGACUGUACUUGGCGGCAUGGGUGAAUUACACAUGGAAAUCAUAAAGUCGCGUCUGCUAAGUGAGUACAAAAUUGAUGUUGAUCUGGGUCCGCUACAAAUUGCCUACAAGGAGGCUAUCGAAACGCCGGCCAUAACAACCUUAAGUGUGGAAAAAGAUAUUGCGGGCAGUAAGCAAAAUGUGAAUAUAACCCUACAACUGACCAAUAAUCAGACCGAGCUCUUCAGCUUAGAUAAAUCGCCAGAGAACGUUCAAAAUCUCAAUGCACUGCGUCCUCGGGUCCUUCAAGUGCUGCGCAAAGGAGCAAUCGGUGCUUUGGAGCGUGGACCACGUGUUGGCGGUCAAGUUGUAGAUACUCAAAUACGUCUGCACAAUGUCACUGUGGGACGGGGCACUGCCGAUUCAUUUGUCAUGGCAGCGGCGGCACAGUGCGUGCAAAAGCUGCUGAGUAAAAGCGGCACACGGCUUCUGGAGCCCAUCAUGGCCAUGCAAAUUGUGGCGCCCAAUGAACGUGUAUCUGGGAUUAUAGCGGAUCUCUCUAGGCGUCGGGCGCUUAUAAAAGACGUAAUGCCCAAGGGAGAUAGGAAUAAGCUCAUUUUGGUGAAUGCCCCCUUGGCGGAGCUCUCCGGAUAUUCCAGUGCGCUGCGAACCAUUAGCUCCGGCACGGCCAGCAUGACAAUGCAACCCUGUGGUUUUUCGGAAAUGAACGCCGCGGAUGAGACGUUAGCCGUACGCCGAGCUCAGGGAUUAGACUAACAUAGGCCUGCCUAAUUUAUUGUCUACUUUUAUUGAACGUAGAUCACAGUAAGCUGGGUUUGGAAGCUUACAAGUUCCUAGUACAUUACUAUAUAGUAUAGUACAAAGAAAAAUGUGAAAAUUAUCGCACGUUGAAAAUUAUAAAAUUUGGUGAUAAAAUUGAUGUCGUUCUUAUUUUCGUUAAAAACUACCGGUGCAAACUGUUGGCCGCUGCGGCAUGGCAUACUCUACACAGAAAGUGUUCUUUCAUGUGCCGUUUAUGAACGAGACGCUUGAAUUUUAUUGCCAAGAUCCAUGCGUCAAGCUAAAAAGUUAUCCAUCUACAAUCGAUGAUCGCUCGUGGGCAGCCAGUGAUGAUAAAAAGUCACGUUUUGUAUCCGAUCUUGUAAGUUGCAAUACACCGUCUAUCCGCCGCAAGGAUGAAAGUGGCGAAAGUCAGAAGCCUGGUCCGGCAGCCCAAGACUAUCCACAGCAGCAGAACGGUUAUGGAGGCCCAGAACAGGGACAGAACCAGGGAGGUUAUGACGGCCAAGGACAGGACCAAGGAGGCUAUGACGGACAAGGACAGGACCAGGGCGGUUAUGAUCAAGGACAGGACCAGGGCGGCUAUGAUCAAGGACAGGACCAGGGCGGUUAUGGAGGUCAAGGACAGGAUCAGGGCGGCUAUGACGGUCCAGAGCAAGAUGGCCGGGGACAGGGCGGAUGGAGUGGUUGAGACAAGAGGCGACACCAAAAUUCUUAGGUUUACGGUGAUCAGGCCAUUCCAGGGUCUGAAAGGCCGUGACGGCUCAGGGUGGUAAUGGAGUUCCGAGUCAGGAGUGUCAAGACCCGCACGAUUUUUGAGGAGGACCAAGUAAUAGGUUAUGCGCCUCAGGAGGGCCACUAAGCUUAAGUGGUCCGCGGCAGGGUCGAAGCCCGGGACGACGAAGUUGAGAUGAAGUAGACUACUUAAAAAUCACACGAGGCAUAUAAAGCAUGUAUAUAGCAUCGCGAUUCGUCCAGAAAAAAGGAUCGUUAACUUUCCUUGGAGUUCGUAAUACUGCGUAAUCUUGAUGACUUUAUGGUAGCAGGAGGAACCACAAGAGGUGGUUAUGUUUUAAUAUUCCUACAGGUUAAGGUCCUGGAUGCUUUGGUGGUCCUGGUGAACAAGCGCCUGGAGCUUGUGGUGGUCCCGGCGGCUAAGCAUGUUGGCCAGGAAAGCCAGCAAGUAUUGGUACUUUCCGGAAGCUAACAUCAACUACUUUCAGUACCGCUGCAGCAAAAAUUGCUCACCCCAGCGGCACUGCAGUGCACAGACCUUAUGCAAAUGAAAAUUGAUGUUCUAUGCAACGAGUUGCGAAAAAGUCGACUUCCCUCCCAGUACUUGCAGCUAAUGACUUAAUUUUUAUGUGUCUAGCAUGCCAAAGCAUAAACCUGAGCGUUCUAAAAAUCUUAUAGUUGCAGUGAUAAUUGUUUCAAGGAGACUAACAUAGAGGAUGAUGAAGAUAUAACAUGUUAAUGCUGUGCAAAAAAUGAUUUUAU